rnacentral:rRNA from 1 species
UACGUAGGGUGCGAGCGUUAAUCGGAAUUACUGGGCGUAAAGCGUGCGCAGGCGGCUUUGCAAGACAGAUGUGAAAUCCCCGGGCUUAACCUGGGAACUGCAUUUGUGACUGCAUGGCUGGAGUGCGGCAGAGGGGGAUGGAAUUCCGCGUGUAGCAGUGAAAUGCGUAGAUAUGCGGAGGAACACCGAUGGCGAAGGCAGCCCCCUGGGAUAACACUGACGCUCAUGCACGAAAGCGUGGGGAGCAAACAGG